GACGAACGCUGGAGGCGUGCUUAACACAUGCAAGUCGAACGAUGAAAUGGAGCUUGCUCCAUGGAUUAGUGGCGAACGGGUGAGUAACACGUGAAUAACCUGCCCUUAAUUUUGGAAUAACCCAGGGAAACCUGGGCUAAUACCGGAUAAGUAAACCUGUGGCAUCACAUGGUUUUGGAAAGUUUUUCGAUUAAGGAUGGAUUCGCGGCCUAUCAGCUUGUUGGUGAGGUAAUGGCUCACCAAGGCGACGACGGGUAGCCGGCCUGAGAGGGGGAACGGCCACAAGGGGACUGAGACACGGCGCAGACUCCUACGGGAGGCAGCAGUGGGGAAUAUUGCGCAAUGGACGAAAGUCUGACGCAGCGACGCCUCGUGAGGGACGAAGGUCUUCGGAUUGUAAACCUCUUUCAGCAGGGACGAAGCGAAAGUGACGGUACCUGCAGAAGAAGCACCGGCUAACUAUGUGCCAGCCGCCGCAGUAA
rnacentral:rRNA from 1 species